rnacentral:rRNA from 1 species
GACGUAGGAUGCAAGCGUUAUCCGGAAUGAUUGGGCGUAAAGCGUCCGCAGGUGGCUGUGUAAGUCUGCUGUCAAAGAGCGAAGCUCAACUUCGUAAAGGCAGUGGAAACUACACGGCUAGAGUGCGUUCGGGGCAGAGGGAAUUCCUGGUGUAGCGGUGAAAUGCGUAGAGAUCAGGAAGAACACCGGUGGCGAAGGCGCUCUGCUAGGCCGCAACUGACACUGAGGGACGAAAGCUAGGGGAGCGAAUGGG